rnacentral:rRNA from 3 species
CACUAUCGUUAACUGAAUACAUAGGUUAACGAGGCGAACCGGGGGAACUGAAACAUCUAAGUACCCCGAGGAAAAGAAAUCAACCGAGAUUCCCCCAGUAGCGGCGAGCGAACGGGGAGCAGCCCAGAGUCUGAAUCAGCUUGUGUGUUAGUGGAACGGUCUGGAAAGUCCGACGGUACAGGGUGAUAGUCCCGUACACCAAAAUGCACAGGCUGUGAACUCGAAGAGUAGGGCGGGACACGUGGUAUCCUGUCUGAAUAUGGGGGGACCAUCCUCCAAGGCUAAAUACUCCUGACUGACCGAUAGUGAACCAGUACCGUGAGGGAAAGGCGAAAAGAACCCCGGCGAGGGGAGUGAAAAAGAACCUGAAACCGUGUACGUACAAGCAGUGGGAGCACCUUCGGGUGUGACUGCGUACCUUUUGUAUAAUGGGUCAGCGACUUAUAUUCUGUAGCAAGGUUAACCGUAUAGGGGAGCCGCAGGGAAACCGAGUCUUAACUGGGCGUUAAGUUGCAGGGUAUAGACCCGAAACCCGGUGAUCUAGCCAUGGGCAGGUUGAAGGUUGGGUAACACUAACUGGAGGACCGAACCGACUAAUGUUGAAAAAUUAGCGGAUGACUUGUGGCUGGGGGUGAAAGGCCAAUCAAACCGGGAGAUAGCUGGUUCUCCCCGAAAGCUAUUUAGGUAGCGCCUCGUGAACUCAUCUUCGGGGGUAGAGCACUGUUUCGGCUAGGGGGUCAUCCCGACUUACCAACCCGAUGCAAACUACGAAUACCGAAGAAUGUUAUCACGGGAGACACACGGCGGGUGCUAACGUCCGUCGUGAAGAGGGAAACAACCCAGACCGCCAGCUAAGGUCCCAAAGUCAUGGUUAAGUGGGAAACGAUGUGGGAAGGCACAGACAGCCAGGAUGUUGGCUUAGAAGCAGCCAUCAUUUAAAGAAAGCGUAAUAGCUCACUGGUCGAGUCGGCCUGCGCGGAAGAUGUAACGGGGCUAAACCAUGCACCGAAGCUGCGGCAGCGACACUAUGUGUUGUUGGGUAGGGGAGCGUUCUGUAAGCCUGCGAAGGUGUGCUGUGAGGCAUGCUGGAGGUAUCAGAAGUGCGAAUGCUGACAUAAGUAACGAUAAAGCGGGUGAAAAGCCCGCUCGCCGGAAGACCAAGGGUUCCUGUCCAACGUUAAUCGGGGCAGGGUGAGUCGACCCCUAAGGCGAGGCCGAAAGGCGUAGUCGAUGGGAAACAGGUUAAUAUUCCUGUACUUGGUGUUACUGCGAAGGGGGGACGGAGAAGGCUAUGUUAGCCGGGCGACGGUUGUCCCGGUUUAAGCAUGUAGGCUGAUUGUCCAGGCAAAUCCGGAUAAUCAAGGCUGAGGUGUGAUGACGAGGCACUACGGUGCUGAAGUAACAAAUGCCCUGCUUCCAGGAAAAGCCUCUAAGCAUCAGGUAACAUCAAAUCGUACCCCAAACCGACACAGGUGGUCAGGUAGAGAAUACCAAGGCGCUUGAGAGAACUCGGGUGAAGGAACUAGGCAAAAUGGUGCCGUAACUUCGGGAGAAGGCACGCUGGUGUGUAGGUGAAGUCCCUGCGGAUGGAGCUGAGACCAGUCGAAGAUACCAGCUGGCUGCAACUGUUUAUUAAAAACACAGCACUGUGCAAACACGAAAGUGGACGUAUACGGUGUGACGCCUGCCCGGUGCCGGAAGGUUAAUUGAUGGGGUUAUCCGUAAGGAGAAGCUCUUGAUCGAAGCCCCGGUAAACGGCGGCCGUAACUAUAACGGUCCUAAGGUAGCGAAAUUCCUUGUCGGGUAAGUUCCGACCUGCACGAAUGGCGUAAUGAUGGCCAGGCUGUCUCCACCCGAGACUCAGUGAAAUUGAACUCGCUGUGAAGAUGCAGUGUACCCGCGGCAAGACGGAAAGACCCCGUGAACCUUUACUAUAGCUUGACACUGAACAUUGAGCCUUGAUGUGUAGGAUAGGUGGGAGGCUUUGAAGCGUGGACGCCAGUCUGCGUGGAGCCAACCUUGAAAUACCACCCUUUAAUGUUUGAUGUUCUAACGUUGGCCCCUGACCGGGGUUGCGGACAGUGUCUGGUGGGUAGUUUGACUGGGGCGGUCUCCUCCCAAAGCGUAACGGAGGAGCACGAAGGUUAGCUAAUCCUGGUCGGACAUCAGGAGGUUAGUGCAAUGGCAUAAGCUAGCUUGACUGCGAGCGUGACGGCGCGAGCAGGUGCGAAAGCAGGUCAUAGUGAUCCGGUGGUUCUGAAUGGAAGGGCCAUCGCUCAACGGAUAAAAGGUACUCCGGGGAUAACAGGCUGAUACCGCCCAAGAGUUCAUAUCGACGGCGGUGUUUGGCACCUCGAUGUCGGCUCAUCACAUCCUGGGGCUGAAGUAGGUCCCAAGGGUAUGGCUGUUCGCCAUUUAAAGUGGUACGCGAGCUGGGUUUAGAACGUCGUGAGACAGUUCGGUCCCUAUCUGCCGUGGGCGCUGGAGAAUUGAGGGGGGCUGCUCCUAGUACGAGAGGACCGGAGUGGACGCAUCACUGGUGUUCGGGUUGUCAUGCCAAUGGCACUGCCCGGUAGCUAAAUGCGGAAGAGAUAAGUGCUGAAAGCAUCUAAGCACGAAACUUGCCCCGAGAUGAGUUCUCCCUGAGACUUUAAGUCUCCUGAAGGAACGUUAAAGACGAUGACGUUGAUAGGCCGGGUGUGUAAGCGCAGCGAUGCGUUGAGCUAACCGGUACUAAUGAACCGUGAGGCUUAACCUU